UACGUAGGGUCCGAGCGUUGUCCGGAAUUAUUGGGCGUAAAGGGCUCGUAGGCGGUUCGUCACGUCGGGAGUGAAAACUCGGGGCUUAACCCCGAGCCUGCUUCCGAUACGGGCAGACUAGAGGUAGGCAGGGGAGAGCGGAACUCCUGGUGUAGCGGUGGAAUGCGCAGAUAUCAGGAAGACCCCCGGGGCGAAGGCGGCUCUCUGGGCCUUACCUGAUGCUGAGGAGCGAAAGCGUGGGUAGCGAGCAGG
rnacentral:rRNA from 1 species